rnacentral:miRNA from 1 species
UUGAAUGUAGGAUUCGUCUGGAC